AGAGUUUGAUCCUGGCUCAGGAUGAACGCUAGCUACAGGCUUAACACAUGCAAGUCGUGGGGCAUCGCGCGCGCAGCAAUGCGCGUGGCGGCGACCGGCGGAUGGGUGAGUAACGCGUAUCCAACCUGCCCCCGUCCCGGGAACAGCCCUCCGAAAGGGGGAUUGAUGCCCGGUGGUGCCACGAGGCCGCAUGGCCCUGUGGUGAUAGGACUUAGUCUGGUCGGGGAUGGGGAUGCGUUCCAUUAGGAAGCAGGCGGGGUAACGGCCCACCUGUCCUGCGAUGGAUAGGGGUUCUGAGAGGAAGGUCCCCCACAUUGGUACUGAGACACGGACCAAACUCCUACGGGAGGCAGCAGUGAGGAAUAUUGGUCAAUGGGCGAGAGCCUGAACCAGCCAUGUCGCGUGCGGGAUACGGCCCUAUGGGUCUUAAACCGCUUUUGCCGGGGGAUAAAGUCGUCCACGCGUGGAUGAUUGCAGGUACCCGGCGAAUAAGGAUCGGCUAACUCCGUGCCAGCAGCCGCGGUAAUACGGAGGAUCCGAGCGUUAUCCGGAUUUAUUGGGUUUAAAGGGUGCGCAGGCGGCACGUCAAGUCUGCGGUGAAAUGUCAGGGCUCAACCUUGGCACCGCCAUGGAAACUGACGGGCUAGAGUGCGUUUGGGGGUCGUGGAAUGUGCGGUGUAGCGGUGAAAUGCAUAGAUAUCGCACAGAACGCCGAUCGCGAAGGCAGCGACCCAAGCCGCAACUGACGCUCAGGCACGAAAGCGCGGGGAUCGAACAGGAUUAGAUACCCUGGUAGUCCGCGCAGUAAACGAUGGAUGCUCGCCGUCCGCGAUACACAGCGGGUGGCCAAGCGAAAGCGAUAAGCAUCCCACCUGGGGAGUACGCCGGCAACGGUGAAACUCAAAGGAAUUGACGGGGGCCCGCACAAGCGGAGGAACAUGUGGUUUAAUUCGAUGAUACGCGAGGAACCUUACCCGGGCUUGAAAGUUAGCGACGUGGGCGGAAACGCCCCCUCCCUUCGGGGCGCGAAACUAGGUGCUGCAUGGUUGUCGUCAGCUCGUGCCGUGAGGUGUCGGCUUAAGUGCCAUAACGAGCGCAACCCCUGUCCGUAGUUGCCAACGGGUAAAGCCGGGGACUCUACGGAGACUGCCACCGCAAGGUGCGAGGAAGGCGGGGAUGACGUCAAAUCAGCACGGCCCUUACGUCCGGGGCGACACACGUGUUACAAUGGGGGGUACAGAGCGAGGCGAGCCGGCGACGGCGAGCGGACCGCGGAAAGCCCCCCCCAGUUCGGAUCGGAGUCUGCAACCCGACUCCGUGAAGCUGGAUUCGCUAGUAAUCGCGCAUCAGCCAUGGCGCGGUGAAUACGUUCCCGGGCCUUGCACACACCGCCCGUCAAG
rnacentral:rRNA from 1 species